rnacentral:lncRNA from 1 species
AUGAGGAUCUCUCGCGAGAAGAAGACCAUCGCUUCUACGAUAACCACUUUCGACAGUCAUCGCCACCAGCCCCCUGCACUUACCCCUAAGAGAGGCGACUCUCCAGAAGAACAGAUCUGCUUUCGCCGGGAUGUCGUCGACUCGCGGUGUCCGUUUCAGGCGCUCACCGUGGCGGCUCGACAACCACGUGGGAUGCGAGGCUCGCCAACGAUUUCAGCCGUGUUUACGCGGCAUCAGGCACAUCCACGUUGUUGUGCGGCCGUCGCCACCGCCUCCAGAACGUGGUAUCUCCCCGGAGCGAAGCUUGGUACCCGUGAAGCACAAAGUCCCCGUCUCGUCUCCUCCGUCAGCCCCGGCGCCCAGCCUUCUUUCUGUGUCUACAGACCGGCCCCUCCGAGCUACGGCGCGGAAGGCAAAUCGUGCGGCGUUCGUCUUUUCGGGUGUCCGGUGGGUUCACUGAGCAUAACGUCCUCCAGGCUCAUCCGUGUCGUGGUGGGUCAGCAUCUCCCCCCUUGGAAGGCUCAGUAAUAUUCUUUGUACGUAUGGACCGUAGCUUGUUGAUCCAGAGCCCCGUGGAGGGACGUUGGGCUGUUCCCAGGGCCCAUGCGUCAGAAGCCAAGAGAGCCACAGGAGCGUGGCACCCCAGCCCUCUGCUCGUCCCCUCCCGUCCCCCCCGCCCCCCGGCCCGGUUCCUCGGCUUCAGAAAAGAGUGAGAACCAGCCAGGGUUCUGUUGGAAUCCAAGCGGUAAGGAAAGGCGAGGAGGAUUAAUAAUUUUCUUAAAAAAGUUUUCAGCCAAGGAAACUCAUUUUUAACAGAGGGGGAGGAAGAAAAAGCCCAAUUAGGUCUGGUGAGCAGCAGCUCACAAAGGAAGUGCAGUUGUCAGAAAGAGGGCUGGGACUUUUCAAAGAGCUUACUGGAACUAAACAGAAAUGCUGAACUUUGUUUUGUCUUUCCCCAGAACAUGCUCUUUUUGGAAUCAAAAGGCUCCAAGGGUGGUGAAAGACUUCAGAGCAUGAAAUUGCAUUACUGGAAAUGGUUUGGGGCUUUUGUUCUGGACGCCGGGGCCUCGUGAGGGCCGAGUUUAGCAACGAGCCCAGCCCGGCUCCACGGGGGCACGGAGAGGAAGGGGGCAGUUGGACAGGCCGUCCGGUUUCCCAGGUCCUCUAACGCAAACCGAGGGGUCUCAGGGGCCGUGGUCGGAUGCUACGCUGGGGGAGGUGAGGGCUACUGCCUUGUCAAAUGCAUCAAAUGGAUAUUAAAAAAAAAAAAAUACACUCGACCCACAGGAAGAGUGAAGCACGACCCACGGUGAGAUCUUUAAAUGCCGCCGAACGACCGCAGCUGCUUCCUAAACGGUCUCCUUGCCCGGUUUCCGAGGAGGCAAAUCUGAGCCCGUGACUCCCUCCCUUCGGAGCCUUCUAUGGCUCACCAUUGCCUCUGAAAUUGAGUCAGGCUCUUUAGCCACCGCCCUGCGUGGCCGGGGCUCGGUUCCCGUCUCCUUUGACCUCGUCUUUUCCGUCCUGCCCU